rnacentral:rRNA from 1 species
UACGUAGGGGGCAAGCGUUGUCCGGAAUCAUUGGGCGUAAAGCGCGUGUAGGCGGCCUUGUAAGUCCGUUCUGAAAGCCCGGGGCUCAACCCCGGGAGGCGGAUGGAUACUGCAAGGCUCGAGUCCGGAAGAGGCAAGUGGAAUUCCUGGUGUAGCGGUGGAAUGCGCAGAUAUCAGGAGGAACACCAAUAGCGAAGGCAGCGCGCUGGGACGAUACUGACGCUAAGGCGCGAAAGCGUGGGGAGCGAACAGG